rnacentral:rRNA from 1 species
UACGGGGGGGGCGAGCGUUGUCCGAAGUUACUGGGCGUAAAGGGCGCGUAGGCGGGGUGUCACGUCCGCUGUGAAAGCCUGGAGCUUAACUCCAGCGGGUCGGUGGAUACGGACACUCUUGAAGGCAUUAGGGGAAGAUGGAAUUACCCGUGGAGCGGUGAAAUGCGUAGAGAUGGGUAGGAACACCGGUGGCGAAGGCGGCUACCUGGACCGGUUCUGACCGCUGAUGCGCGAAAGCG